UACGAGGGGGGCGAGCGUUGUUCGGAAUUAUUGGGCGUAAAGGGUGCGUAGGCGGUUUGGUAAGUCUCGUGUGAAAUCUCCGGGCUCAACUCGGAGCCUGCACGAGAAACUGCCGGGCUUGAGUGUGGGAGAGGCGAGUGGAAUUCCUGGUGUAGCGGUGAAAUGCGUAGAUAUCAGGAGGAACACCUGUGGCGAAGGCGGCGACCUGGGCCAAUACUGACGCUGAGGUGCGAAAGCGUGGGGAGCAAACAGG
rnacentral:rRNA from 1 species